GCGGUCGUGGCGGAAUUGGCAGACGCGCAUGCUUGAGGUGCAUGUGGGCAACCCCCGUGGAGGUUCAAGUCCUCUCGACCGCACCA
rnacentral:tRNA from 1 species